rnacentral:rRNA from 1 species
UACGAAGGGGGCUAGCGUUGCUCGGAAUCACUGGGCGUAAAGGGUGCGUAGGCGGGUCUUUAAGUCAGGGGUGAAAUCCUGGAGCUCAACUCCAGAACUGCCUUUGAUACUGAGGAUCUUGAGUUCGGGAGAGGUGAGUGGAACUGCGAGUGUAGAGGUGAAAUUCGUAGAUAUUCGCAAGAACACCAGUGGCGAAGGCGGCUCACUGGCCCGGUACUGACGCUGGAGGUGACGAAGCGGUGGGAGCAAACAGG